UCUCCGUUGGUGAACCAGCGGAGGGAUCAUUACCGAGUUUACAACUCCCAAACCCAAUGUGAACCAUACCAAACUGUUGCCUCGGCGGGGUCACGCCCCGGGUGCGUCGCAGCCCCGGAACCAGGCGCCCGCCGGAGGGACCAACCAAACUCUUUCUGUAGUCCCCUCGGGGACGUUAUUUUUACAGCUCUGAGCAAAAAUUCAAAAUGAAUCAAAACUUUCAACAACGGAUCUCUUGGUUCUG
rnacentral:misc_RNA from 1 species